GGUGAGGUGGCAGAGCGGCCUAAUGCGCCGGUCUUGAAAACCGGUGGCGUCAGCCUCAUGGGUUCGAAUCCCAUCCUCACCG
rfam:Halobacterium sp. DL1, complete genome.